GCUAAGGUAGCAUAAUCACUUGUUAUUUAAUUGGUAACUGGAAUGAAAGGUUAAACUAAUUUAUUAAGUUUGUGGGGCUAAAUAAGAGUUUAAAGUUAAGGUAAGAAUUCUUUAAUUUUUUAGGGGACGAUAAGACCCUAGAAGCUUAACGAGUGGUUGUUUUGUUUUAUAAAUUUGUUCGUUUUACUGGGGCGGUAAAAAUAAUUAAGCUAUUUGUUAUUUAAGGGAUCCUUAAAAUAAAGAAAAAAUGGAGAAGUUACUCUAGGGAUAA
rnacentral:rRNA from 1 species